UGGGGAAUUUUCCACAAUGGGGGAAACCCUGAUGCAGCGACGCCGCGUGAUUUAGAAGGCCUUCGGGUUGUAAAAAUCUUUUGUAUGGGAAGAAAAUGACAGUACCAUACGAAUAAGGACCGGCUAAUUACGUGCCAGCAGCCGCGGUAAUACGUAAGGUCCGAGCGUUGUCCGGAAUCAUUGGGCGUAAAAGGUACGUAGGCGGAUAAGCAAGUUAGAAGUGAAAUCCUAUAGCUCAACUAUAGUAAGCUUUUAAAACUGCUCAUCUUGAGGUAUGGAAAGGAAAGUGGAAUUCCUAGUGUAGCGGUGAAAUGCGCAGAUAUUAGGAGGAAGACCGGUGGCGAAGGCGACUUUCUGGCCAUAUACUGACGCUGAGGUACGAAAGCGUGGGUAGCAAACAGG
rnacentral:rRNA from 1 species